rnacentral:rRNA from 1 species
AGAUUGAACGCUGGCGGCGUGCCUAACACAUGCAAGUCGAGCGGUAACAGGUGUAGCAAUACAUGCUGACGAGCGGCGAACGGGUGAGUAAUGCUUUGGAAUCUUCCCAGUAGUGGGGAAUAACCAGUCGAAAGAUUGGCUAAUACCGCAUACGUCUGUAAAGGGAAAGCGGGGGCUCGUAAGACCUCGCGCUAUUGGAUGAGCCAAAGUCGGAUUAGCUAGUUGGUGGGGUAAUGGCCUACCAAGGCGACAAUCCGUAGCUGGUCUGAGAGGACGACCAGCCACACCGGAACUGAGACACGGUCCGGACUCCUACGGGAGGCAGCAGUGGGGGAAUAUUGGACAAUGGGGGAAACCCUGAUCCAGCGACGCCGCGUGUGUGAAGAAGGCCUGCGGGUUGUAAAGCACUUUUUAGUGGGGACAAAAAGCUACGGAUUAAUACUCUGUGGUCUUGAUUUAACCCAAAGAAAAGCACCGGCUAACUCUGUGCCAGCAGCCGC